rnacentral:rRNA from 1 species
UACGGAGGGGGCUAGCGUUGUUCGGAAUUACUGGGCGUAAAGCGCACGUAGGCGGCUUUGUAAGUUAGAGGUGAAAGCCUGGAGCUUAACUCCAGAACUGCCUUUAAGACUGCAUCGCUUGAACGUCGGAGAGGUGAGUGGAAUUCCGAGUGUAGAGGUGAAAUUCGUAGAUAUUCGGAAGAACACCAGUGGCGAAGGCGGCUCACUGGACGACUGUUGACGCUGAGGUGCGAAAGCGUGGGGAGCAAACGGG